ACUUUUUUUUUUUUUUUUAAGACGGAGUCUCGCUCUGUCGCCCAGGCUGGAGUGCAGUGGCGCGAUCUCGGCUCACUGCAAGCUCCGCCUCUCGGGUUCACGCCAUUCUCCUGCCUCAGCCUCCCAAGUAGCUCGGACUACAGGCGUCCUCCACCAUGCCUGGCUAAUAUUUUGUAUUUUUUAGUAGAGACGGGGUUUCACCGUGUUAGCCAGGAUGGUCUCGAUCUCCUAACCUGGUGAUCCGCCCGCCUCGGCCUCCCAAAGUAUUGGGAUUACCCGCGUGAGCCACCGCGCCCGGCUGCAAAUAAUCUUUCUUUUUUUCUGAGACAGAGUCUCGCUCUGUUGCCCAGGCUGGAGUGCAGUGGCACGAUCUCGGCUCACGGCACGCUCCGCCUCCCGGGUUCACGCCAUUCUCCUGCCUCAGCUUCCCGAGUAGCUGGGACUACAGGGGCCCGCCACCACGCCCGGCUAACUUUUUGUGUUUUUAGUAGAGACGGGGUUUCACCGUGUUAGCCAGGAUGGUCUCGAUCUCCUGACCUUGUGAUCUGCCCGCCUCGGCCUCCCAAAGUGCUGGGAUUACAGGCGUGAGCCACCGCGCCCGGCGGCGAAACACGAUAUUGUACUAACAUCUUAAUUUUGUUAUAAAAUCUCACAAACCCCCUGACAUAGUCUCAGAGAUCUGUAGGGCCGAGGUUACAUUUGGAGAACCCGUACUCUAGGGCCAAAUCCAUUCUUCUUGCCCUGGCUCACUUGUCCCCCCCACCGCCCCGCGCUGGAGCCACUGCCUAGUUCUUCAGCCCUAGAUGGUGCUCGCCAGACCUCCUCUCAAUGCUCAUCACACACAGGGCUAUUCCUUUCCUCCAAUGAACCAAACGCCUCCCGCCCACCUCCAGGUCCCAGUCCUCUGUUCCCUUUGCCUGGUCCACCCUUGCCCUCCCUGGGUCGCAGACGAGGUCGGCCUCGUCAUUCCCCGCAGACCGCCGCGCGUCCCUCUUGUGCGGUUCACCACAGUUGUAUUUAAGUGAUCGUGUGAGUCGUCGUUAAAUGCCUGUCUCCCCGCGGAUCAUGGGCUCCUCGAGGACAGGGACUGGCCUGUCUGUCCACUGCUGUAACCCCGCGCCGGCAUAGGGACCUAAGGCCCACUGGAGGGCGCUCAUCAAGUAGCUGCUGGAUGUUGACGAAGGAAGCGGCGGCGCAGCUCAGGGAUCUCCGAGUCAGGACGGUCGGCCAGACCCACGGGGUAACGGGUCUAAUCGUGUAGGAAUAAAGCUGUAUUCCAGUGCUUCCAAA
rnacentral:lncRNA from 1 species